rnacentral:lncRNA from 1 species
UCCAUAUGGAAUACCUUUAGAACCUUGUUCACAAACAUAGGGAGAACUGAGAAGCAAACCUGAGUGGUUCUGGCACCCUAAGGAUUUUGGAGAUAAAAACUGUGAGGAGAAGGUUCUUGUGUACAUAGCAGUGGGCUACAAAUAAUGGAAGAUAUCUUACUGUUCUUAAGUGUUUGGCAGUGCUCUGCUCUGGUCUGUUAUAAAGCUAGAUAUUAAUUUUGGACUUGAUAGAUUUUCCAUAAUUGACAAUCAUCUGUAAUUACAAGGUAUAAAUGCUUUGGUCUAAAACAUUUAGUUAGAAACAAAUAUUUAGUUAGAAACAAAAUACUAGAUAUACUUACAAAACAAUAGUAUUAGUAAGGUAAUGGAUGAUAGCACUUAUUAAUUUGAAGCUGUUGGUGGUUUCAUAGCUGCUUCAUGAGAAAAUUGCUGAAUUUCACAAAAAUAUAUUAGGAAGUUAAUCUUAUCAUCACAUCAUAACCACUACUAAAUAAAAGCUGGUUAUGUUCAUCUAAAUUUUCAUUUAAGUAAUAGUGAUGGUGGGCUAAGGGUGGGAGGAAGUCUUUUUUAAACCAGCAUCCAAAACCAUUAGUAAAUGAAGCUGCAUUCAAAUAUCUUUUUCCACCUAGAUCCAGGGUCAGUAUAAACAGAAGUGAUACAUUUCUUUGUUUGUAUUGCUGAAAUUCAAAUUUUUUUUCCUGUUUUUCAGGGUCUCUCUCCUAUAUAAUUUGGUUAUACAUAAUCAUCAUUUUCUGUGCAUCCCCUGGCUUGUUACUUCCAGGGUGGUUUGCAUUUCAGAUUUUGUGAUGGGAUGUUUCUUUGUUUUCCUUCUGUUUCCUUUUUCUCCCUCCCUGCUAUGCUCUUCAGACACAGAGAAUCCAUCAUACAUUCAUGUACUUCAGCUCAUGACCUGAGAAUAAGUGCAGGAAGGAACCAAGCUGAAGACAACUAAGCACAUUCACUCUUCAGAAACUAUCUAGAGAAAACAGGAAAAAUCCAAUAAAACAAAUUUUAAAAACCA